rnacentral:rRNA from 1 species
ACUCCUACGGGAGGCAGCAGUGGGGAAUUUUGGACAAUGGGCGAAAGCCUGAUCCAGCCAUGCCGCGUGAGUGAAGAAGGCCUUCGGGUUGUAAAGCUCUUUUAGUCGGAAAGAAAGAGUCGCAAUGAAUAAUUGUGAUUUAUGACGGUACCGACAGAAAAAGCACCGGCUAACUACGUGCCAGCAGCCGCGGUAAUACGUAGGGUGCGAGCGUUAAUCGGAAUUACUGGGCGUAAAGGGUGCGCAGGCGGUUUUGCAAGUCAGAUGUGAAAGCCCCGGGCUUAACCUGGGAAUUGCGUUUGAAACUACAAGGCUAGAGUGCAGCAGAGGGGAGUGGAAUUCCAUGUGUAGCAGUGAAAUGCGUAGAGAUGUGGAAGAACACCGAUGGCGAAGGCAGCUCCCUGGGUUGACACUGACGCUCAUGCACGAAAGCGUGGGGAGCAAACAGGAUUAGAUACCCUGGUAGUCCACGCCCUAAACGAUGUCAACUGGUUGUCGGAUCUAAUUAAGGAUUUGGUAACGUAGCUAACGCGUGAAGUUGACCGCCUGGGGAGUACGGUCGCUAGAUUAAAACUCAAAGGAAUUGACGGGGACCCGCACAAGCGGUGGAUUAUGUGGAUUAAUUCGAUGCAACGCGAAAAACCUUACCUACCCUUGACAUGCUUGGAAUCUAAUGGAGACAUAAGAGUGCCCGAAAGGGAGCCAAGACACAGGUGCUGCAUGGCUGUCGUCAGCUCGUGUCGUGAGAUGUUGGGUUAAGUCCCGCAACGAGCGCAACCCUUGUCACUAAUUGCUAUCAUUUUUAAUGAGCACUUUAGUGAGACUGCCGGUGACAAACCGGAGGAAGGUGGGGAUGACGUCAAGUCCUCAUGGCCCUUAUGGGUAGGGCUUCACACGUAAUACAAUGGCGUGUACAGAGGGUUGCCAACCCGCGAGGGGGAGCCAAUCUCAGAAAGCACGUCGUAGUCCGGAUCGGAGUCUGCAACUCGACUCCGUGAAGUCGGAAUCGCUAGUAAUCGCGGAUCAGCAUGUCGCGGUGAAUACGUUCCCGGGUCUUGUACACACCGCCCGUCACACCAUGGGAGUGGUUUUCACCAGAAGCAGGUAGCUUAACCGCAAGGAGGGCGCUUGCCACGGUGGGGGUCAUGACUGGGGUGAAGUCGUAACAAGGUAACC